rnacentral:rRNA from 1 species
UACGAAGGGGGCUAGCGUUGUUCGGAAUCACUGGGCGUAAAGCGCACGUAGGCGGAUCUUUAAGUCAGGGGUGAAAUCCCGAGGCUCAACCUCGGAACUGCCUUUGAUACUGGAGAGCUUGAGUUCGGGAGAGGUGAGUGGAACUGCGAGUGUAGAGGUGAAAUUCGUAGAUAUUCGCAAGAACACCAGUGGCGAAGGCGGCUCACUGGCCCGAUACUGACGCUGAGGUGCGAAAGCGUGGGGAGCAAACAGG